UUUGAAAGUAAAUAUUUUUAGGAAAUAUAAAUGUCUAAAGGUCAAUAUUUAAAAUUUUCAAACAGACAACAAUAACAAUAAUUUCCAUAAACAGCAACACCUGCAUAGCUUAUAAAACCACUACAUACACCCACUCACACGCAUAAAUUGCCAAAAUACCAGCACUUUAACAUUUUGGCGCACACUGUAGCGGCAUGUUGGGCAUAAAUUUCAUUGCUGUGUGUGUGUUUCAUUUAUUGUUUUUUCGCUGCUUCGCACGCUUCACACCAAAUGCAUUAGUGUUUAAAUAAAGUAGGGAAAUUUCGUUGUGCUUUUGUGUGCCCGUUACACGCUUAACUCGAAUAACACGCGCUGCUGGCAAUGUAUUAUCACUCGCUUUUAUUGCACCCCACACACACACGCACGCACACACCAACAAACGCACUAACAACAUGCGACAAUUUGGUUGAAACAUCUGACUGUCGGUUAGUCGGCUACAUAUAUUGUUUUGUAGCUGUUGCUUUUGCGGUUGUUGUUGUUGUUGGUGUAGAUAGCAUAACUGUACAGCCGUACAAGCUGUUAUUGCUAUCUCACAGCGAAUGUAAUUGUUUUUGUACAUGCAUGUUGACAAUUUGCAAAUAAAUAAAUUGUUAAAACCAACUGCUGCCAACACAGCGCACAACAGCAACAACAACAAGCAAGCGCUAUCGGCACACAAGUGCGUGUGGCGUGUGUGGCUGCGAAAUACAAUUGUAUAUGUGUGUGUGUGCCGCUGUGUUAUCUCACUUUUCGCACGAUUGUUAUUUGUGUUGUUGUUGCUGUUGCUGUUGCAGCUUCAGGCAUUUUGUAUUGUAUUUUGACACUUUUCGGCGCUGCCAGUUGGCAGUUGACUGCUCGCCUGCGCGACUCUUUGACUAUUUGGCGUACUGUGACUCUCUUUUGCUGUUGUUGUUGUUAUUGUCGCUGCACAGUUUUUGCAGAUAAUCAACAUGAAAAUUAAUUAAAUACGCUCGCACGCAAUUUAUGUGCCUGUGCAUAUGUGUGGUGUUGCCAUAUUGUUGUAAAUAUACAUGUAAUCAAAUAUGCACUGGUGUGGGGGUGUGUGUGUUGCGCAGGUGAAGCAUUACAUUUGUUUAAUUAUGCAAAGGUUUCAUUUGAUUUUUUUUCUGGCAUUUUUUGUUGCUUUUAUUUUUGUUUUUAAUUUCGUGCUAUUUAUGACCGCCAGGAAUGCCAUGCCGUUUCAUAAGCGGUAUUUAUUUUUAAUCUUUGUUUAUAAUUUGUUAACAAAAUAUUUUAAAGCAAUUGAAAAAUAGCAAGCACACACAAACAGCUAACGGUAAAAUUACAAUACAAAUGUAAACAACCGUUUUUUGUGCGUGCAAAAGCGUGUUUUUACUAAAUUUGUAGCAUACGCACAGGCGCUCUAUAGUAAUUAUGCUCAAAAUAUGAUAUUUUCGUUGAAAAAAAAUUAUGAAAAAAUAAAAUAUUAACGCAAAUUAAAACAAAUAAAUGAAAAAUAACAUUUACAAUGUUAAAAAAAAAUUAUGUAAAAAUUCCAACGUAAAAAUGUAUUCCAAAAAAUCUACAUAUCAACAUAACAACAAAAAACGCACGCAAUAAAUAUCGAAAAAACAAAUUAAAUUAAAACGUCGCAUCAAAUUAACGGUUUUACUGCUAAAUUAAAUAUUUUUCAAUCAAAAUCCAAAAAAAAAAUUCCAAAAAAAAUUUAAUAAAAAAUGCCAGCGCCGAGCAUAACACAAAUGAAUGCUAAUACCUUGCAAAUAUUUACAUGAAAUUAACAAAUCAACAUUGCGCGUAAUAUUUCAAAAUAACAAGAAUAACAAAAACACCUACAGCAAUUGUAAAAAGUGCCACAAAUUGCACAGAAAGCAAAAAGAAUCGCAACUUAUGAUAAACAUUAAUUAUUUUAUCGCGUUAUUAUCGCAUCAAAUAAAAAUAAAUUGCGCGUAAAAAAUUGACACAACAAAUAGAGUGUUUUCAAAUAAACAUUGCAAACAUGACAUGUAAAUAAAAACACUUUUUCGCCGCGCAUAUUUAUGACACUGGCGAAGCUUGCAACGCGGAUCAACUUGUUGGUAUUUGCUACGCUCAAUUGAUUUCAGUGCCUUGUUGAAAUAGAUUUUCCUACCUUCGUGCUCUAAGCUUG